rnacentral:rRNA from 1 species
CGAACGAGAAAGCCCUUCGGGGUGAGUAAAGUGGCGAACGGGUGAGUAACACGUGGGCAACCUGCCCCUCGCAGGGGGACAACCGGAGGAAACUCCGGCUAAUACCCCGUACGUUCCCAGGGUCGCAUGGCUCCUGGGAGGAAAGGUAGCUUCGGCCAUCCGGCGAGGGAUGGGCCCGCGGUGCAUUAGCUAGUUGGUGGGGUAACGGCUCACCAAGGCAACGAUGCAUAGCUGGUCUGAGAGGAUGAUCAGCCACACUGGGACUGAGACACGGCCCAGACUCCUACGGGAGGCAGCAGCCAGGAAUCUUGGGCAAUGGGCGCAAGCCUGACCCAGCAACACCGUGUGGGCGAUGAAGGCCUUCGGGUCGUAAAGCCCUGUUGAUAGGGACGAAGGGCGAAGGGUUAAUAGCCCCUAGCCUGACGGUACCUUUCGAGGAAGCCCCGGCUAACUACGUGCCAGCAGCCGCGGUAAUACGUAGGGGGCGAGCGUUG